GAGCGUGACGCUAGUUAGGCGUGGUACUCUGCAAAGGUAUUAGAGAUAUUUUAUAUCCUCGCUU
rnacentral:tRNA from 1 species